GAUGAACGCUGGCGGCGUGCCUAAUACAUGCAAGUCGAGCGAACUGAUUAGAAGCUUGCUUCUAUGACGUUAGCGGCGGACGGAUGAGUAACACGUGGGCAACCUGCCUGUAAGACUGGGAUAACUUCGGGAAACCGAAGCUAAUACCGGAUAGGAUCUUCUCCUUCAUGGGAGAUGAUUGAAAGAUGGUUUCGGCUAUCACUUACAGAUGGGCCCGCGGUGCAUUAGCUAGUUGGUGAGGUAACGGCCCACCAAGGCAACGAUGCAUAGCCGACCUGAGCUGGUGAUCGGCCACCCGGGGACUGGGCCACGGCCCAGACUCCUACGGGAGGCAGGAGUAGGGGCUCUUCCGCAAUGGUCGAAAGUCUGACGGAGCAACGCCGCGUGGGUGAUGGAGGCUUUCGGGUCGUAAAACUCUGUUGUUAGGGAAGAACAAGUACGAGAGUAACUGCUCGUACCUUGACGGUACCUAACCAGAAAGCCACGGCUAACUACGUGCCAGCCGCCGCCGUAAAAC
rnacentral:rRNA from 1 species